rnacentral:misc_RNA from 1 species
UUAAGUUCAGCGGGUAUUCCUACCUGAUCCGAGGUCAACACUUGAAAAUUUGUGGGUGCAAAAGACCACCGCCCGCGAAAGUCGUCCCGGCACAUGCUUCGGUUAAGAAAGCUCCUCGUACCGGUUCCCUCUGGGACGGCGUCACUGUCUCAAGACCAGUCACCGGGCGAGCGACGACUGAGUCCAACACCAAGCCGUGG